rnacentral:rRNA from 1 species
GACGAACGCUGGCGGCGUGCUUAACACAUGCAAGUCGUACGGUAAGGCCCUUUCGGGGGUACACGAGUGGCGAACGGGUGCGUAACACGUGAGUAACCUGCCCACAACUUUGGGAUAACGUUAGGAAACUGGUGCUAAUACUGGAUAUGUGCUCCUGCUGCAUGGUGGGGGUUGGAAAGCUCCGGCGGUUGUGGAUGGACUCGCGGCCUAUCAGCUUGUUGGUGGGGUAGUGGCCUACCAAGGCGGCGACGGGUAGCCGGCCUGAGAGGGUGACCGGCCACAUUGGGACUGAGAUACGGCCCAGACUCCUACGGGAGGCAGCAGUGGGGAAGAUUGCACAAGGGGCGCAAGCCUGAUGCAGCAACGCCGCGUGCGGGAUGACGGCCUUCGGGUUGUAAACCGCUUUCAGCAGGGACGAAGCUUUUUGUGACGGUACCUGCAGAAGAAGCACCGGCUAACUACGUG